GGGCCUCGAAUGUAAUGUGCAAUCCCCGUGUGAAGCUGUGCACUUGUUCCUACGACAAAGCAAGACACCGUGGGGGCAGUUUUGAGGUCGAAGGCCGUACUCAUGGUUGGCAUUGCCGCUGACUGUUGGGUGCACUACAUAUUUAUACAGAGAUAUGGAGGGUUACAGGAGAGGUGAAGAUAUUGCUCUCGAGAGAGGAUGUCCCGUCUAGAAACCGUGGUACGCGUCGUGCUGUUUGACAACCUCAGUAGUUAUCGUGCAUUUAUCUGGAGUGACUGCGAGGGUCUUGGCCCGUUUAACGCUGGCAGGUGGUGUCCAUAGGUCGGCAACUAAGGCGGGUCCUGCGGGUCCAUACCACAGUACCCGCAGCCGAAAUUCGGCUUAAGGCCCCGGCUGCGAGUCCCUAAUGAUCAAAUUUUGACCAAAAGACGUGAUUUGCAGCCUCUAUUGCGGCCGUAGGGCCACGUGCUGGACUUGAACUCCGUGUUUGACUUUGUAAAAGACUUUCAUGACCACCUCUACACAAUUCGGCGACGGUUGUCAUAAAUAAAUUAUCACAGGUUUAGCGACGGUACUGGUGACUUGCAGCUGCUGCAGCACUUGACUUGGUCAAUUGUGGAUUUUGAUAUGCCACAUGGAACAUGUUCCAUGUGGGCUAUCCACUGGUACCAUGCUAAAACGCUGCCUGUAUGCAUAUGCUUACAAACAGAGUGAGGCAUGCACAGUUGUGAGCUCUGAAAACAAGUUAUUUGUGGUUUCUGCAGCCGUGGGGAUGAGACCUGCAUAAGGUCGCCGGGCACUGUUCAGGCCAUGCACCGCUUCACAUGCUGGACGGCUUAAGAUCACCAUCAGACCCCACGGAGACACCUGUGCAGAUCCUCUGUAUACUGAAGCCACACACCUCUUCUGUGCUCCUGUCUACCUAUAUUCUUGUGGCUCUGCCGAUUCUGACGGAAUUGCUGACCGUGCUUGGAAUGGUAGAGAUGUGAAGCGGGGAGACCAGCUGCCAAGGGCCCUUACACUGCAGAAUGUGUUGAUCAGGGCUAGCAAGUAGAGGGCUACCAGCUCCCCCGGGGUGGAAUAGAUGUCACCCGGAAGGUUGUCUGCCUUCCACCACCGCAGAACUAGCGCCACAUUGCAGCUUACUCCUUAGUGGUCCUGGCCGUCAGUGAUUCUGGUGCCGCCUGCACCAGUUUCAUGGUGACUGCUUGGGGGUCGGUGGUGGCCCCGUCCCCCAAGGGGCCCAACAAGGCCUGCAUGUGCAGCUAGAUCUGCAGAUGGCAGGCGGCCAGGUCAGCAGGGACACAGAUGCAUGUUUUGCUGGGGCCAGAGAAAUCUAAAAGGAGUGCCAGGGUAGCCCAUGCCGCUGCACCUUUAGGGGCCGUGUUGCCGUUGGAGCCUGGCAGGAACAGGUCCAUGGCUCGGCCCAACAUUACGACUCCGUGAACGAAGGGUUCAAACCAAGCGCCAUCUGUGGUGAUCCUGGCCCACCAGUCCCUGGUCGGCCAGUAUGGUGCAAUCAGGCACACACAGGCCUUGCAAACCUCGGUGUGCUGGAGUAUCAUGCUGAAAGGCGGGUUAUGUAGCAGUCGCUCACCUGACGGGAGGACUGACAGAGCGGAAGCGUGGAGUUAUUAGUCCUCGUCGAUGUAGGAAGAAGUCCAACCAAGCGGCAAGCACUAGCGUACAUAAGAUGUGUACGUAACGGUUAGAGACGGCGGCAGCGGAGUCUUGAACUCCGAACACCUAGUAAUGUGAUACGUCAGUGUCUGGCCAGAACACCCCGCCCGGGUAGCUUAUAUCUCGGCCUAC
rnacentral:lncRNA from 1 species